UGCUUUUCAAAUUUUUGCUCUUUUAUUUG
rnacentral:piRNA from 1 species